rnacentral:rRNA from 1 species
GAUGAACGCUGGCGGCGUGCCUAAUACAUGCAAGUAGAACGCUGAAGGAGGAGCUUGCUUCUCUGGAUGAGUUGCGAACGGGUGAGUAACGCGUAGGUAACCUGCCUGGUAGCGGGGGAUAACUAUUGGAAACGAUAGCUAAUACCGCAUAAGAGCAGUUGUUGCAUGACAGCUGUUUAAAAGGUGCAAUUGCACCACUACCAGAUGGACCUGCGUUGUAUUAGCUAGUUGGUGAGGUAACGGCUCACCAAGGCGACGAUACAUAGCCGACCUGAGAGGGUGAUCGGCCACACUGGGACUGAGACACGGCCCAGACUCCUACGGGAGGCAGCAGUAGGGAAUCUUCGGCAAUGGGGGCAACCCUGACCGAGCAACGCCGCGUGAGUGAAGAAGGUUUUCGGAUCGUAAAGCUCUGUUGUAAGAGAAGAACGAGUGUGAGAGUGGAAAGUUCACGCUGUGACGGUAUCUUACCAGAAAAGGGAGGGUAUUAUCUUGCCAGCAGCCGCGGUAAUACGUAGGUCCCGAGCGUUAUCCGGAUUUAUUGGGCGUAAAGCGAGCGCAGGCGGUUAGAUAAGUCUGAAGUUAAGGCGGNGGCNNAACCAUCAGUAACGGCCCCCACNGUUUAACUUGAGUGCAAGAGGGGAGAGCCUUAUUCCANGCGCAGCGGNGAAAGGCGUAGAAANANGGAGGAACACCGGGGGCGAAAGCGGCCCCCCGGCUUGUAACUGACGCCGAGGCNCGAAAGCGNGGGGAGCAAACAGGANNAGAGACCCGGGCAGCCCACGCCGCAAACGAAGAGGGCNAGGNGNNAGACCCCNNCCCCCGCCNAGNGCCGCAGCAAACGCANNAAGCACCCCGCCCGGGGAGGACGACCGCAAGGNNGAAACCCAAAGGAANNGACGGGGGCCCGCACAAGCGGCGGAGCACGCGGCCNAAACCGAAGCAACGCGAAGAACCCCACCAGGCCCCGACACCCCGUUUCCCUCCCCAGAGANAGGAAGCCACCNCGGGACAUCGGNGACAGGAGGCGCACGGCCGCCGCCAGCCCGCGACGAGAGACGCAGGGGNAAGGCCCGCAACGAGCGCAACCCCAANGGCCAGACGCCACCAGACAGCCGGGCACCCCAGCGAGACCGCCGGCACAAAACCGGAGGAAGGCGGGGAAGACGCCAAACCAACAAGCCCCCCCAGACCAGGGCAACCCACGCGCAACAAAGGCCGGCACAACGCAGCCCCCAGCCGGCGACCGGCCAGCCAAACCGCCAAAGCCCACCCCACGCCCGAAGGCACGCCGCAACCCCCCCACCAGAAGCCGGAACCGCCAGCAAACCCGCGACCAGCCCGCCCCGG